AUAAAUACGAUGAAGGAGACAGUUUAUAAUUAGAGUUUUAAGAGAGCUGAUGGUUGGUGUAAAUCAGUAACAAAGAUUAUAAUGUAUCACUCUGGAGUAGCCCUUUGAAUUAAGUAGAAGGUGACGUUAAUCGCGUUAAGAUUUCAAGAGCGUAUGAAAAUACGAAUUAAGGUGGUACCGCGAUCACAUCGUCCUUAGG
rnacentral:ncRNA from 1 species